GAUGGAUGGAUGGAUGGAUGGUUGGACGGACGGAUGGACGGAUGGAUGGAUGGAUGGAUGGAUGGAUGGAUGGAUGGAUGGAUGGAUGGAGAUCACAUGGGAAUGGUGGGUCUGAUGGUAGAUCCAGACAUUGUUAAAGAUGAACAGUUUCCUAUUCAUUCAGAGGUUCAGAGAUUUAGUCUAUAGUCUCGGGAUGAUGUUGAGAGAGGAUCCCAUCACUUAGUCCAGGAAGGGAAAGUCCCCAAGCCAUACAGCUAUGCACUAUGGUCUGGAAGAGGUCAGUCCAGAAAAGACAGAUGCUGCUGGGUCCUCAGACACCUAUGCAGUGUUCACAGUGGCUUUUCCAAGGGUCUGCAUUCACUUUCACUGCCCCAGCAUUGCUGAACACCAGCCCAGAAUCCCUAGACAGAUGUGGGAUGCGAUGUGAUGGGUAUUGGUGGAUGUUCAACCUAAUCCAGUAGGAAGAGGAGGUGGGAAAAGCACAAAAGCCAAAAGGUUUGUGCAAAGCCACACACCAGGUGGUGAGAACAGAUCCUCCAUGCCCUCACUGUCCCCAAGCUCCUCCGGUUCCUGUGUUGGAUGAGCACUCAAAGGAGGGAGAUCCCAUUGGAAAUACAGCCAUGUGUCAUUGUGAAUUUUGCUCCUGCAAAGUACCCAGCUCUUUGCAGAUAUUUAAACCCCCCACAUCCUGAAAUCAUCAUUGCUAUGUCUUUUGUCACAUCUGGAGAUGGUUCUUCUAACAUCUGGAGAUGAUCAUGCAGGUGCCCAUGGUCCUUAUGAGACCUUUCAGGACCGUGGAGACGCUGUUCCCCAUUUGCUUGCAGGUGUGCAGAGGGAUGACAGUCAUCCACACUGUUCAGCUCUGUAUUCCCCAUCAACCUGGGCUCAGCCAACCCUCUCCACUGGCUUUGGGAUGAAGGGGAAGGUGUGAUGGCCCCACAGACCCCAAACUGCCUGGUUGCAGGGGAGAUGGCAGACUUGGCUCCACAGCAUGAUGCUGAGUGGCUUCCAGAUGAUGUAUCAGCCGCCUACGUAGACAUCAAACAUAUUAACACAAUAAAGCUGCUGCUCAGAAGCCUUCCUGCCUGUUUUUCUCAUGGGAAAUAUCAGUGCUGGGAGCACCUAGGUGCCUUGUAUGGAAGUGUGGGGUUAUUUCCAUAGAGAACCCUGGAAAUAAAUGCAUGUGUUCUCUCUGACCACUUCCAGACCUUGGAACAGGGCAAGACAUGCACUGCAUUGAGAAAAUCCCAAUCUGCUGGGCAGGACUGGAGACCACUGG
rnacentral:lncRNA from 1 species